GCCAGGCGUGGUGGCGCACGCCUGUAAUCCCAGCUACUCAGGAGGCUGAGGCACGAGAAUCGCUUGAACCCGGGAGGCAGAGGUGGCAGUGAGCCAAGAUUGUGCCACUGCACUCCAGCCUGGGUGACAGAGCGAGACUCUCUCUCCA
rnacentral:sRNA from 1 species